rnacentral:rRNA from 1 species
AGCUAAUAGAUACCCAGGUAGUCCACGCCCUAAACGAUGUCUACUAGUUGUUGGUGGAGUAAAAUCCAUGAGUAAACGCAGCUAACGCGUGAAGUAGACCGCCUGGGGGAGUACGGUCGCAAGAUUAAACUACAAGGAAUUGACGGGGGCCCGGCACAAGCGGUGGAUUAUGUGGAUCAAUUACGAUGCAACGCGAAAACCUUAACCUGGCCUUGACAUGCCACUAACGAAGCAGAGAUGCAUUAGGUGCCCGUAACGGGAAAGUGGACACAGGUGCUGCAUGGCUGUCGUCAGCUCGUGUCGUGAGAUGUUGGGUUUAAGUCCCGCAACGAGCGCAACCCUUGCCAUUAAUUGCCAUCAUUUAGUUGGGCACUUUAAUGGGACUGCCGGUGACAAACCGGAGGAAGGUGGGGAUGACGUCAAGUCCUCAUGGCCCUUAUGGCCUGGGCUUCACACGUAAUACAAUGGUCGGUACAGAGAG